CAAAAUUUAUCGCCAAAUCAAAAUUAGUAGUACAAAUUUAUGAUCAUAAAAUCAUUUAGUCGGAAAAGUCGAAGGAUAUUUCCACAAUAAAAGCCAUCGCAUUGAGAAACCGUUAGCGGACAACCGUCCGGAAUAUUCUGGAAAGUUUUCCGCCAUAUUUAUCGCAACAAUUUCUCAUAACAGACGCAAUUUAGUCCAAUACCACAGUUGAAGAAAUGGCCAGAAAUCGGACCAGCCAUAUGAACUACCUUAAAGCACUCUACCGAAAAUCUUCCCGAAAAUACAAGAACUUGUAUGUGAUAAUAAUAGCUGCCCUAUCAAUAUUCCUACUGACAUUUCUGCUGCCUAAUAUAUCACACAGAAUAAAUCAGAGCGAAAAUAUAAGGUGUAUGAAGAAAGUUGUAAAGGAAGUAACGGAUGAAGUUUGUCGAUUCGAAGGAGUCUACGUAAGCGAUGCAAAAGAAUUGUGUGGAAUACAGAGUCACUUCUAUGAUACUGAUGAAACAUUUGCCUGCAGUCGUGCCAGGUUAAUACUUCCACCUUUAAUCUGAUAUAAGAAUCCAUAGAAGGAAAUUUGAUUAAUGCCAAUCUUCUACGACUCACUAAAGCAAAAAAGAGAACUGUACCUGAAGUAUGUUUAUUUUUCUCUAUGGAAAACUGACAAUAAAG